AUCUAAAUAGUUUAAAAAAAAAUUUUAAUUUGUGGAGUUGAGGAUAUGAGGUAUUCAUUUUAGAUU
rnacentral:tRNA from 1 species